GUGAGACGUGGUCUUGUAACACAGUGGUUAAGAAUGUGACUUUGGAGCCAGCCUGCUAGGGGCUGAAUUCUGACUCAGCCAUUUAUUAACUGUGUGACCUUAGAUGGAGUCUCACUCUGUAGCCCAAGCUGGAGUGGCGUGAUCUCGACUCACUGCAACCUCCGCCUCCUGGGCUCAAGUGAUUCUCGUGCCUCAGCCUCCUGAGUAGCUGGGACUACAGUUGUCCCUUCACGUGGGAUUGCUUCCAGUACCUCUGUGUAUAACAAAAGCUGCACCAUUCAAGUCCCACAGUUGCUCUGCGAAACCUCUGUAUAUGAAAAGUUGGCCCUCCAUGUACAUGGGUUUCCCAUCCUGUCAUAGAAUUUUCCACACUCCUUGACGGAGGUUCUUAACCCUUAUCCAUCAGCAUUCUCAGACAGCACCUCCGGUUAGGGACAGUAUCUGACCGUCCGACAUCCCUGCAGCCCCCAUGCUGUCACACAGACUCAGCCUCAGGUAGAUGGUUUCCGUAGAUGGUGGCUUUCUUUGGACCCUUGAUAUCAACCAGUUACUAUUUGGGGACCAGAUGUGCAGAGGUAAUGAAUACCAGGGAAUCAGGAAACCACUGGAUCAGUUCUUUGAGCCAUAGAACAACACUCAUCCCAGCAGCUGGGAAGCUAUCUGCAAAAGUCCAUCUGCAGAAAGGGCUUCCUGGUCUUGCGUGUGGCUGGGCCAUUUCUCUGGAUGCAGGUUUUUCAUUAUACAGUCUUCUCAAAGGACCACCUGCUCUCAACACCUUCUCGGUGACUCCAUUUCCCCUCCUCU
rnacentral:antisense_RNA from 1 species